AGGAAAGGGUGUGCAACCUCCAACUGAGCCAUAGGUGCCAAGGUGGAGAUGUCCUAAGUGCCAGCGGAAAAGGGACCUCCUCUUCCUCCUGGGUAGACACUCAGGCAUCUGCUUGGUUCAGUUGCCCCUUCACAAACCUCAGGCAUUUCAUUCCAGUGGCAAGGCACAGCUUGACCUGACCCUUGCCCAUAAACCCUGAUGGUCUUUGCGACACAAAAUCGGGUCUGGAAUCCUCUGCAUGCACCCCAGGAAAAGGAACGUAUUGGAAGACGUGCGGGGGUGCUGCACAGAAAGAAGGACAGCCUAGGAGUACAGAAGUGCUCUUGCAAAGAAAACACCACAUUUGCUGUGUUCCCUGCUCCAGCUUCCCACUGGUAAACAACUGCAGCAUCAAACACAAAGUUUGCGCAGAGCCUGCAGGCCAGGCUUCCUGGACAGUUUGCCUCUGGGAAGGGGCAAUGUCUGGAGGCUCAGCAGUUAUUAAGCAUGGGACAACCUGGAUGGCAAGCUUGGAAGUCGCUCCUAUUGUGAGCAUGGAGAUUUGCGCCCAAGCCGCCUCUGUGCACAAAGCUUUGAGUGUUUCCAAGAAGUAGCUGAACCCGGAGAUUAAAGGGAUCAGGAGCUCAGCACUCUUGAUUGAUUUUGUAAUCAA